CUCUGAUUCGCGUUAUGGUAGCUGUUGUAAGAAGUACCUGACUAUGCCGGACUUUUGUGCAGCCUACGGAUGCUCCAAUCGCCGCUGUCUGCAAACAAGAACCCGUGGGAUCACCACAUAUGUUUAUGUUUGCUCAGUCUAAUAAACCCAUAACAUGGUUGUGAAAGAAUACCAAA